rnacentral:ribozyme from 1 species
GCAAAGAGAAAGAAAGUGAUGAAGAAAAAGAAAAAAGAGAAAGAAAAAAGAUUCUUCUUUCCUCUUUCCCCUUUCCCCUUUCCUCUUCGUUUUCUUUCCCUCUUUCUCUUUCU